AAUCAGUGACCUGCACCUCUACAAACUGAACACAGCAGAAACCUCCACCUGAGCAGUUUGCAAACACGAGCAGAUUGUUGGAAAAACGCAGUGAAGAUGAAUCUCCUGUCCCCGAUGAUGCUGGUCCUGCUGUCGGCUGGAACCAGUUUGGCUGCUGUGGAUGUUAACUGGCUGACUAAUAUUGUAGAGCCUAUCAUGACACAAAUUGUAGAUCGCAUGAAAAGGAAGGAAGAAGGAGACAGUUCUGUCUGGCUGCAGAAAUCCCACAGAUCUCUGACCCACAGAAACUUGCUGAAGUCUUAGUUAACACCGAACUUUCAGAAGGUGUAGUGUUUCAAGACAAACACAAUCAUGUGGUCGCAGCUUUAAGCGCAGGCCCUGUACAUGCAGAAUAUAUAGUUUUGCAAUGUAACAACUUGCAACCAUUGAUGAAAAACAGCCAAAGAGACUUCCUGCUCAUCUACUCUUACCUCUCCCCAUGUGCAGACAAGUGUACAGAUGCCAAUGACAAGCACAACAUCUUGACAUUAAUUAAAAAAAAUGUCCUUAAAAAGUGGAGCCGUUAUGCCUUUGUGUUUACAACAGUUUAUGAUAACCCUGGCAGAGUGGAAAGUAGAACUAUUGACACAGAGACAUUGAAAGGAGCACUGAAGAAACUUGGGAAGACUGGGCUCGGUCUCAAAAACAUUUUCCGCUGUUUCAGACCACAAAAUGAAGAAUUUCAGUGCCACAGCUGCUCGUCACAGGGGGGAGUUUCAGAUGUAUGUGUUGAUAACAACUUUGUGCCUCAACAGGGUAGAAGCAGAAGCACCAUCAGAAGCAGAGACAGAAGUACGAGCACAGACAGAAGUAGAAGCACCAGUAGACGCAGCAGCAGCAGCAGCAACAGCAGUAGAAGCAGAGACAGAGGUAGAAACAGAGACGGAGUUAGAA